rnacentral:lncRNA from 1 species
AAAACCUAUACACGACAUGCAGGAGAUUUCACCAAAUCCGACUCAUGCACACCAUUCCGACCAGGUGGAAGAGAGUCUCCAUUUUAUUAUCAACAGUCGAGUCAGUGGGUUCAGUUGAGAAAUCAAAAUCAUCUUAUAUAUAUCAUUACCUCUAGAAUUUGAUUUAUGUAGGGUUUUGUUACUGUUUCAGUUAUAGAAACAAGGAUAAUAAAAAUAGAAAUAUGUUUAAUUGAAUAGAAAUAUCUCUCAUAGUCUCGGGGGACCAAAUGUCCAUACACUCUCUCCAGCAUACAUCUUGUUAGCUAAUCCAGGCACUAAGCUGGUCUUCAAACCCUAGGGCACUGGGGAAGUAUCCUUUUUCCAUGUCAUAUGAUUGGAUAUUCAAAACCAAAUUAAUUUCUAUUUUUUUUUUUCAAACUAGACAUUUAACAAGUUAAAACUUUUUCGAAAACUUUACUUCAUUUAUCUAUGGGCUGUAAAGAUGCCAGGAAUAUAUAUUUCGAAUCAUUUUCGAUGUAGGGUCACUGUACAUUUUCUGUGCUGUUUACCUAGCGUACGUCCUGGAAAUUAAAGUGUGCCUGGCUUGCACGUGUUUUCUGCCCAAUUUUUAUAUUUA